UACGUAGGGGGCAAGCGUUGUCCGGAAUCAUUGGGCGUAAAGCGUGUGUAGGCGGAUCGUUAAGUACCUUGUGAAAUCCCACGGCUCAACCGUGGAACUGCUCGGUAUACUGGCGGUCUUGAGCCACCUAGGGGCAACUGGAACAAGCGGUGGAGCGGUGAAAUGCGUAGAUAUCGCUUGGAACGCCAACGGUGAAAACAGGUUGCUGGGGGUGUGCUGACGCUGAGACACGAAAGCCAGGGGAGCGAACGGG
rnacentral:rRNA from 1 species